UGCAUAAAUACAAGUAUAGUGGUGACGUCAGAUGCUAACCACCACUAUAAAUAUUGGGAAAAGAUAUAACCCUUCGCCGCAUCUGAGGACGCUACUAUACACGAAUACACUUCCCACAGGCGAAAACCACAAUGCAUCGCGGUCAUGUGAUAGCUGCGCUGUUGAUCAGCCUUUUUGUAAUAUCCGCGGGCGCCUGGGGCGGAAGACGAUUCGUCAAAAGGCCAACAACAGCCGGACCUGCGUUGGGUAGAUUUCAAUCACGUACGCGAUCAAAGAUUCCCGACGAGGCGUUGAAGGCAGAGGACACCUGGUACCGAUACUACGACAAACACCGGUCUUUACGACAAGAUGACGAACAACAAAGAUGAAAAACAAUAUUUUUAUGACAAAUAUUAAAUAAAAGUUAUUUAUGCA